GCGUCGGAACGGACCCCCGUGCCCGGCACGCCAGAUCGGGACCGUGGACCUGAGGCAGCCGUACAGAGGCGGCGUCCACACCUACAGUUAAGUGGAAGGGCCAAGAGGAGUAACUAGAACAUAACCCUCCUCACCUAGUUCUUGUAAAAAGUUGAAAAGUUAUCAGUGGUGUGCAUGCUAGUCAGGCGCGGAGUAGCUCAGGAUCGAGCCUCAGGAGUUUGUACCAGGCAGUGUUGGGGACGGUCUCUGAUAGAGAAGGGCCUUGUAGGAUUUAAGAUUGUCCCCUCCCGAAUGUAUCAAAACACUGUGUUUUCAAACAGAAGACCUCGCCUUUGCUGUUCUAUCUAAGUCUCCAGUGCAUCCUUUGGGACGCAGGAAAAAAACAAAACAAAACAAAAAAACAAGGGCCAAAAAGGCUAAGUGACUCCUCUCACACACUCACCCCUGCCUCACAAAAUCAGAGGAGAUGGAACCAGGACACCUGAAGAACUGUCUCUGCCGGCCAAGGACCCUCCACCUCCCUCCAGUCAACUGGCAGGAUUGAGUAGCGAACCAGGUCACUAAAGACACAAUGUAAACCCAGUGUCCCAGCACAUACCUGAACUUCCAUCACGUGGGAGGCCGAGGCAGGAGGAUCAUGAGUUUGAGGCCAACCUGGACUACAUAGCAAGACCCUGUCUCAGAACAGAAAGGGAAAAAAAGAGCUCCAUAAUGAGAUCAGUUUCCCCACUGUUUGCUAAGGAGACAAAGUGGGGAGGGAUCUUCAAGUGUUACUGUGGGAUGGUUUCCAGGCUCUUGUGCAUGAGGGACAAAGCAUUGGAUGUUGCACACAAUGAUACAGAAAAAGCAGGCUGUGUUCCCACCAUCUUCAGCGCCAGAGGGCCUUCUCUGCUGCACCCUCUCUUGCAGGCUGCGUUCCGCCAUCUUCAGCCGCGCCCUCCAGGCGGUGUUCCCGCUAUCUUUAGUGCCAGAGGACCUGCUCGGCGGGGUCCUCCCGUGCUGGCGCCGCUGCUGCCAUCUUCAGCACUAGAAAAAGAGCUGUGUGGGCACCCCAUACCCCCCCAACCUUCCCCCUCCCGCUUUUAGACCUCCUGAUUGUGCCAGUCUUUGGACCUACUCUGUAGAGGAAGAGGAGGUCAUAAAGAGUAUUUUUCAGCGCUUUUAACUUUGAACAUCUUUAAAGAAGUGGUGGGGGAAAUUUAUAGUAGAACCGAGUGGAGUUCAACCUUUCAGGAGGUCGGGGAACUCAGUCCGGGCCUUGCAGCCUGAGCUCAGCCUGCGUCAUGGGGUUCUGCCACCAGCUAGCUGAGAUCAGGGGACUCGGCUCUGCACAUGGCAGCACAUAUUGUAUAUUAUGAUAGCAGUGAUAUAGUCUGAAAGAGGCCCUUCAAACUUAUGUUUCUUUCUUUUUUUUUUUUUCUUUUUCUGUCUUCUUUCUCCAACUCAGUUUCUUACUCCACUAUAGUAUCC
rnacentral:lncRNA from 1 species